GAUGAACGCUAGCGGCAGGCCUAAUACAUGCAAGUCGAACGGUGUAGCAAUACACAGUGGCGCACGGGUGCGUAACACGUAUGCAACCUACCUUACAUUGGGGGAUAGCCUUUCGAAAGGGAGAUUAAUACCGCAUAAGACAGUAACUAGGCAUCUAGUAGCUGUUAAAGAUUUAUCGAUGUAAGCUGGGCAUGCGUCCAAUUAGUUAGUUGGCGAGGUAAUGGCUCACCAAGACGAUGAUUGGUAGGGGAACUGAGAGGUCAAUCCCCCACACUGGCACAGAGAUACGGGCCAGACUCCUACGGGAGGCAGAAGUAGGGAAUAUUGGGCAAUGGGCGAAAGCCUGACCCAGCCAUGCCGCGUGCAGGAAGGAGGCGUUAUGCGUUGUAAACUGCUUUUAUACAGGAAGAAACGACCCUUGCGAGGGGCAUUGACGGUACUGUAUGAAUAAGCACCGGCUAACUCCGUGCCAGCCGCCGCCGUAAGAC
rnacentral:rRNA from 1 species